CCCAGGGUAAGUCGGGACCUAAGGCGAGGCCGACAGGCGUAGUCGAUGGACAACCGGUUGAUAUUCCGGUACCCGCUUUGAAGCGCCAAACAUCGAAUCAGGCGAUGCUAAGUCCGUGAAGCCGCCCUGAGCUCUUCGGAGCGUAGGGGAGUGGUGGAGCCGACGAACCAGACUUGUAGUAGGUGAGUGAUGGGGUGACGCAGGAAGGUAGUCCAGCCCGGGCGGUGGUUGUCCCGGGGUAAGGGUGUAGCCCGUCAUCCAGGCAAAUCCGGAUGACACUUGAGGGUGAGACCUGAUGCCGAGCCGAUUGUGGUGAAGUGGAUGAUCCUAUGCUGUCGAGAAAAGCCUCUAGCGAGUUUCAUGGCGGCCCGUACCCUAAAC
rnacentral:rRNA from 1 species